GUGAUUUUUCAAGGAAUCAAGUGUUUAAAGGUGGUGAGCUAUUUGAUACGGGUAAAAGACUACACUCGAGAACCGAGAAUAGGAGUAUAUCUACUCCUAGUACAGCUCAGAAUAGGUAGUAGACUGUCAAUUACAUCGAGAAGUAAAUUUCGGAGUUGCAUCCUAGAAAACAAGGUUAUAGACUUAAACCUUCUCAGUUAUUUGGGGGCC
rnacentral:sRNA from 1 species